GGUUAAGCGACUAAGCGUACACGGUGGAUGCCCUGGCAGUCAGAGGCGAUGAAGGACGUGCUAAUCUGCGAUAAGCGUCGGUAAGGUGAUAUGAACCGUUAUAACCGGCGAUUUCCGAAUGGGGAAACCCAGUGUGUUUCGACACACUAUCAUUAACUGAAUCCAUAGGUUAAUGAGGCGAACCGGGGGAACUGAAACAUCUAAGUACCCCGAGGAAAAGAAAUCAACCGAGAUUCCCCCAGUAGCGGCGAGCGAACGGGGAGCAGCCCAGAGCCUGAAUCAGUGUGUGUGUUAGUGGAAGCGUCUGGAAAGGCGCGCGAUACAGGGUGACAGCCCCGUACACAAAAAUGCACAUAUUGUGAGCUCGAUGAGUAGGGCGGGACACGUGGUAUCCUGU
rnacentral:rRNA from 1 species